CCUACGGGUGGCAGCAGUGAGGAAUAUUGGUCAAUGGACGAGAGUCUGAACCAGCCAAAUAGCGUGAAGGAUGACUGCACUAUGGGUUGUAAACUUCUUUUAUAUGGGAAUAAAAUGUUCCACGUGUGUCAUUUUGUAUGUACCAGAUGAAUAAGGAUCGGCUAACUCCGUGCCAGCAGCCGCGGUAAUACGGAGGAUCCGAGCGUUAUCCGGAUUUAUUGGGUUUAAAGGGAGCGUAGGUGGAUUGUUAAGUCAGUUGUGAAAGGUUGCGGCUCAACCGUAAAAUUGCAGUUGAAACUGGCAGUCUUGAGUACAGUAGAGGUGGGCGGAAUUCGUGGUGUAGCGGUGAAAUGCUUAGAGAUCACGAAGAACUCCGAUUGCGAAGGCAGCUCACUGGACUGCAACUGACACUGAGGCUCGAAAGUGUGGGUAUCAAACAGGAUUAGAUACCCGAGUAGUC
rnacentral:rRNA from 1 species